GAUGAACGCUGGCGGCGUGCCUAAUACAUGCAAGUCGAGCGAAUGGAUUAAGAGCUUGCUCUUAUGAAGUUAGCGGCGGACGGGUGAGUAACACGUGGGUAACCUGCCCAUAAGACUGGGAUAACUCCGGGAAACCGGGGCUAAUACCGGAUAACAUUUUGAACCGCAUGGUUCGAAAUUGAAAGGCGGCUUCGGCUGUCACUUAUGGAUGGACCCGCGUCGCAUUAGCUAGUUGGUGAGGUAACGGCUCACCAAGGCAACGAUGCGUAGCCGACCUGAGACGGGGACCGGCCACACUGGGACUGAGACACGGCCCAGACUCCUACGGGAGGCAGCAGUAGGAAAUCUUCCGCAAUGGACGAAAGUCUGACGGAGCAACGCCGCGUGAGUGAUGAAGGCUUUCGGGUCGUAAAACUCUGUUGUUAGGGAAGAACAAGUGCUAGUUGAAUAAGCUGGCACCUUGACGGUACCUAACCAGAAAGCCACGGCUAACUACGUGCCAGCCGCCGCGGUAA
rnacentral:rRNA from 1 species